rnacentral:rRNA from 1 species
GAAUCCCGUCUUUGACACGGACUGCCUGCAUGUUAUGGUGCGCUCUCAAAGAGUCGAGUUGUUUGGGAAUGCAGCUCAAAAUGGGUGGUAAAUGCCAUCUAAAGCUAAAUAUUGGCGAGAGACCGAUAGCGAACAAGUACCGUGAGGGAAAGAUGAAAAGAACUUUGGAAAGAGAGUUAAACAGUACGUGAAAUUGCUGAAAGGGAAACGCUUGAAGUCAGUCGCGUCGGCUAGAAAUCAACCUUGCUUUUGCUUGGUGUACUUUCUUGUUGAUGGGUCAGCAUCAAUUUUGACCGUUGGAUAAAGUCGUUGGGAAUGUGGCAUCUUAGGAUGUGUUAUAGCCCAUCGUCGCAUACAGCGGUUGGGAUUGAGGAACUCAGCACGCCCUUCUGGGGACGGGUUUCGACCACGUUUCGUGCUUAGGAUGCUGGCAUAAUGGCUUUAAUCGACCCGUCUUGAAACACGGACCAAGGAGUCUAACAUGCCUGCGAGUGUUUGGGUGAAAAACUCAAGCGCGUAAUGAAAGUGAUAGUUGGGAUCUCUGUCAUGGAGAGCACCGACACUCAGACCAGACCUUCUGAGACGGUUCUGCGGUAGAGCAUGUAUGUUGGGACCCGAAAGAUGGUGAACUAUGCCUGAAUAGGGUGAAGCCAGAGGAAACUCUGGUGGAGGCUCGUAGCGAUUCUGACGUGCAAAUCGAUCGCCAAAUUUGGGUAUAGGGGCGAAAGACUAAUCGAACCAUCUAGUAGCUGGUUCCUGCC